rnacentral:rRNA from 1 species
UGGGGAAUAUUGGACAAUGGGCGCAAGCCUGAUCCAGCCAUGCCGCGUGUGUGAAGAAGGCCUUUUGGUUGUAAAGCACUUUAAGCGAGGAGGAGGCUACUUGGAUUAAUACUCUAGGAUAGUGGACGUUACUCGCAGAAUAAGCACCGGCUAACUCUGUGCCAGCAGCCGCGGUAAUACAGAGGGUGCGAGCGUUAAUCGGAUUUACUGGGCGUAAAGCGUGCGUAGGCGGCUUCUUAAGUCGGAUGUGAAAUCCCUGAGCUUAACUUAGGAAUUGCAUUCGAUACUGGGAAGCUAGAGUAUGGGAGAGGAUGGUAGAAUUCCAGGUGUAGCGGUGAAAUGCGUAGAGAUCUGGAGGAAUACCGAUGGCGAAGGCAGCCAACUGGCCUAAUACUGACGCUGAGGUACGAAAGCAUGGGGAGCAAACAGG